CGCCGGGCUCGGGCUCCGCGCAAAGUUGCAAAGUGGCCUUGGGGCCCCGCGGAGACGCCGGCGCGGUGUCAUUUUGAGCCGGGAGCUGGAGGCUGGGGGGAGGCUACCCCUAAAGGCACUGGUCCCUGGCCAAGGGAAAGACCCUGUCACUUUGGGAAGUCCCUCUGCCUGCUCUCCGGGAGAGUUCAUCCUGAUACCUCUGACGUCCUGCAGAACUGUACUCUGCUCAGAUCGCUGGUCAUCGCCCUGUGUUCUAGAGACUUUGUGUUUGCCACGUGCUGUUGGCUGUAGGUCCCUGUGGAUGAGGACUUUGCCAUAGCCAUCUCAGUGUCCUCAUUUCUUGCCUCACAGCAGGGAUUUAGUGGGCAAGAGCCGAAGAAUUCCCAGCCCCUGCUUAUUCAAUUAACCACAAAUCUAGGUACUGCAGUAAAAGGAUUCUGCAGAUGUUACUGAAGUCCCAAGUCAGUUGCCCUUAAAAUGGGGAGAUUAUGAAGAUUAUGUAGAUAGGCCUGAGCUGCUCACACAAGUCCUUCAAAAGCACACACGGCUUUCUCUGGCUGGAGGCAGAAGGGAAAGGCAGAGACAUUCAGAACACGAAAGGGAUCUACCACGAGGGGGUUUUCUGUUGCUGAGAUGGAGGGGGCCUGUGGCAAGGACAGAGAGCCACCCUAGAAGCCAACAGUUCACAGGGCACCUCCGUCUGACAUCUGCAAGGAAAUGAAUUUGGCCACUAACCAACGAGCUUGGAGAACACCCUGAGUCCAAGAUGAGAACUGUGGGCCGGGCACACACUUUGGUUUCAGCCCAGUGAGACCCUGAGCAGAGGAUCCAGUGGAGCUUGGGCAGAUUUGUGACCCGCAGAAGCUGUGAGAGAAUAAAUUCAUGCUGUUAGGUUCUUGAUCACUUUUUUCCAUGGCAAUAGAAGACUGAUGGAUAGACAGAGCAAAUGUUUGCUGAGUGAAUGAUUGAAUGGAAAGAGAACAUCCUGGUUUCUCUUUUUCUAAGGACAUGAAUACUAUCACCAAAGUCCCACCUUACAACUUCAUCUAACCUCAAUUGCCUCCUAAACAUCUCCAAAUACCAGCAUGUUGGGGUGGGAGGGCAGGAAGAGCCUGAACAGAUGCCACAGUUUUGUGAUAUUAGCACCUGUGGUAAGAUAACAUUUUGGAAAAGUUUACUGAUAGGCUCAUCUCCAUCCACUUCCCUAUGCUCUUUGAUCAUGUGCUUCGCCCAAGGAGGAUGAGAACUUUUGGUGCUUUUGCUUUGGGGAAGGAAUAAGGCAAAAACUGCAUUCCUGAGAAAAUUGCUGGCCUUUUAGUUUUUAAAUCAUGGACCCAUGGGAGGGUUGGAAGAACUCAGGAAAUGGAUAAUAAAUUUUGGCAAGAACAUGAUGAAGCAGAGAUACCGCUCCCCAGCCCCUUCCCUAGCUGGAGAAGAGUGAGGUGGAGGGAAAGUUAUGAGAGCUCCUCUGAUUUCUGCCCUCUGCGUGAACCUUGAGGGGUGGCCACAUCUACUCCCCGGCCUGUGGGAUCUGGACCAGAAGGCCUGGGUCGUGCCAGGGUAGAGUUCUGGGGACAGGAAGCAAGACUGUAUAGGAGCAGCUGCCAAGCAAGGCAGAGAGAUGAAACCCACCUGACAGCCCAUUAGCUGUUCUAUAAAGCAAUCUUAGCACACCCCACCAGGACACAGGGUCUACUUCCAUCCCCUGGGAGCUGGAUGAGUUUGUGAGCACUUUGAUCCACAGCACGUGGCAAAAAAUAAUUCUAUGCGAUUUCAGAAGCACAGUCACAAAAGACAAUGCAGUGUCUACCUUGUUUUCUGGGACACUUAUGUUUUGAGACUUGAGUGUGAGAAGCUUGAUUCCAUGAAGGCUCUCACACAGUGCUGUGCACAUAAGGAGAAGCCACAAGUACCUGGUCCCGUUAGCAUCCCAGUGGAGGUCUCAGCUGACACCUGGCACUGACCAUAAGACCUGGCCAUCACGAGACUUACAGAUGAUUCCAGUGUCCAGCUGUCAGGUCAUCUCUGGGCCUUAGGUCGUCCCAGCUGAAGCCCCAGUCAUCAUGGAGCAGAGACAAACCCUCCCCACUGAGUCUGGUCUGAUUUCCUGAGCCACAGAAACCGGGAUAUCAUAAUAGUACAAUGGUUAUUUCAGGGUGGUUUCUCACAAAGCCACAGUAGUUCCUGUGGUGGGUGAGGGUGGGAUGACCCCAAGUGCCACAGGUGAUGUGGGAGGCAGAAUAGUCUCUAUUCAUCUUUUCACUACCCUCUGCCUCCAAUGUGUCCAUGCACACUAAUCCUUAGAGCCUGUGCUUGUGUUACCUUGCAUGCAAAAGGGCUUAUAGAUGGAGUUAAGUGAGGGUCCUGAGGUGGGGGCAUGGUCCUGGAAUAUCAGAGCUGGUUAGAGAAGGGGGUGUGAGGAUGGAAGCAAGAGUUCACAAUGCAGCGAUGCAGCCUCAAUCAAGAACUGUAGGCAGUCUCCCAGAAGGGAAAGCAAGAAAACGGAUUCCUCCUGAGCUUCUGCCAGGCAAACAGCCCUCUUGUCACCUUGAUUUUAGUCCCAGUGGAUCCACUUCAGGCUUCUGACCUCCAAAACUCUGAGAUAAUACGUUUGUGUUGUUUUAAGGCACUACAUUUAUGGUGAUCCAUUAUAGCAGGCACAGAAACUAAUACCCUGGUGUGGAUGUGGUACUGUUGGGUACAGAGGUCUCAUAGGUGGGGCCCAGGGAUGACCCAGCAGUGGCCUGUGUGGACCAAUGACUGAGGGACUCUGAAGUGAUUGGUUCCUCUAGGGAUAGCAGUGUCGGCAGAUGAUACCAGGGAUGAGGGUAUGUUUGUCCCUGCUUUCCACCACCCCCCACCUCACUUUGAUAUUAGGUUAUACUAAAGUGUCGCAGAAUGUGCACUAUCUCCACAGGGAAAGGAGUAAGUGGUAGGAGUUGGGCUGUCUGGGAUUGUUUCUACCACAUUGACUGAAGGGGAACUCCAAAUACAAAGGAGUUGCAUUGUAGAAAUUAAAGAAAAUUGGUAGAUUUGA